rnacentral:siRNA from 1 species
CUUGGUUGGUGCUCUAAUCGG